UACGUAGGGUGCAGGCGUUAAUCGGAAUUACUGGGCGUAAAGCGUGCGCAGGCGGUCUAUUAAGUCAGGUGUGAAAUCCCCGGGCUUAACCUGGGAACUGCGCUUGUUACUGAUAGGCUUGAGUGUGGCAGAGGGGGGUGGAAUUCCACGUGUAGCAGUGAAAUGCGUAGAGAUGUGGAGGAACACCGAUGGCGAAGGCAGCCCCCUGGGCUAACACUGACGCUCAUACACGAAAGCGUGGGGAGCAAACAGG
rnacentral:rRNA from 1 species